rnacentral:tRNA from 1 species
UCCCUGGUGGCCUACUGGUUAAGGACUUGGCAUUGUCACUGCUAUGGCUUAGGUUCAAUCCCUGGCCCUGGAA